rnacentral:rRNA from 1 species
UACGUAGGGUGCAAGCGUUGUCCGGAAUUAUUGGGCGUGAAGAGCUCGUAGGCGGUGUGUCACGUCGGCCGUGAAAACCUGCAGCUUAACUGUGGGCGUGCGGUCGAUACGGGCAUCACUGGAGUUCGGCAGGGGAGACUGGAAUUCCUGGUGUAGCGGUGAAAUGCGCAGAUAUCAGGAGGAACACCGGUGGCGAAGGCGGGUCUCUGGGCCGAUACUGACGCUGAGGAGCGAAAGCGUGGGGGGCAAACAGG